rnacentral:rRNA from 1 species
AUGGGAGUCAUGGCACGGCUACACCCGAGGCGAUCCAUUCCCACUAUGUCGCUGUACGCGGACGAUGUGGUGCUAUUCUGCCACUGCUCGCCUAGCGACAUCAUUGCCGUGCGGGAGGUCCUGACGCUCUUCGGCCGCGCUUCUGACCUAAGGGUGAACUAUGCCAAGAGCUCUGCCUCGCUGCUGCACUGUGACAUGGACGAGGCGACAGCAGAUCUUGCGCACCUAGGCUGCCCCAUCGUCAACUUGCCGAUCACCUACCUCGGGAUCCCCCUCACGGUAGGCCGACCAACUGCAGCCCCUAGUUGA